GAUGAACGCUGGCGGCACGCCUAACACAUGCAAGUCGAACGAUGAAGCCGGAGCUUGCUCUGGUGAAUUAGUGGCGAACGGGUGAGUAACACGUGAGUAACCUGCCCUUGACUCUGGGAUAACUGCUAGAAAUGGUAGCUAAUACCGGAUACGACCCUCGGAGGCAUCUGCAGGGGGUGGAAAGAAUUUCGGUCAAGGAUGGACUCGCGGCCUAUCAGCUAGUUGGUGAGGUAAUGGCUCACCAAGGCGACGACGGGUAGCCGGCCUGAGAGGGUGACCGGCCACACUGGGACUGAGACACGGCCCAGACUCCUACGGGAGGCAGCAGUGGGGAAUAUUGCACAAUGGGCGCAAGCCUGAUGCAGCAACGCCGCGUGAGGGAUGACGGCCUUCGGGUUGUAAACCUCUUUUAGUAGGGAAGAAGCGAAAGUGACGGUACCUGCAGAAAAAGCACCGCCUAACUACGUGCCAGCAGCCGCCGCAG
rnacentral:rRNA from 1 species